CUGGAAAAAAAAUCAAAGUUCUAUUUAAAUGUAUUAACACUCGUCUUAUAUUUCUGUUUAUAUGAUGAUACAUGUAUAUGAUACAUGUUUAUCAAAAAAUAUUAAAUACAAAAAUACAGAGUUGUCGGAUACAUUUGAUUAAAUAUGUAAAUAUAAAUAAUCCUUUUAAUAUUUUAAUAGAUAAGAAAUAAAAUCAAACAGCAAUUAUCUGGAAACACCAUCUGCAAGUCUGAUUAUUCAGCUGACCAAUUAACAAAAAUCUUGUACAGAGCUUUUUUUCAAGAUUAUGUUUAAUUCUGUUUCAAAAGCAGCAUUUGGCUAGGGUUAGGGUUAUGGUUGGGGCUAGGGUUAGGGUUAGGGUUAGGGUUAUGGUUGGGGCUAGGGUUAGGGUUAGGGUUCGAGCUAGGGUUAGGGUUAGGGUUAUGGUUGGAGCUAGGGUUAGGGUUAGGAUUAGAGUUGGAGCUAGGGUUAGGGUUUGAGCUAGGGUUAGGGUUAGGGUUAUGGUUGGGGCUAGGGUUAGGGUUACGGUUAGUGUUAGAGUUGGAGCUGGGAUUAGGGUUAGGGUUGGAGGUAGGGUUAGGGUUACGGGUUAGGGUUAGGGUUAGUGUUGGAGCUAGGGUUAGGGUUGGGGUUAGGGUCAGUGUUAGUGUUCGAGUUGGUGCUGGGGUUAGGGUUAGGAUUAGAGUUGGAGCUAGGGCUAGGGUUAGAGUUAGGGUUGGAGCUAGGGUUAGGGUUAUGGUUGGGGCUAGGGUUAGGGUUGGAGCUAGGGUUAGGGUUAUGGUUGGAGCUAGGGUUAGGGUUAGGGUUAGGUUUGGAGCUAGGGUUAGGGUUAGGUUAGAGUUGGAGCUAGGGUUAGGGUUAUGGUUGCAGCUAGGGUUAGGGUUAGGGUUGUAGCUAGGGUUAGGUUUAGAGUUAGGGUUAGGGUUAGAGUUGGAGCUAGGGUUAGGGUUGGGGUUAUGGUUGGAGCUAGGGUUAGGGUUGGGGUUAGGGGUUAGGGUUAGGGUUAGGGUUAGGGGGUUAGGGUUAUGUACAUUUCUCUAAAGGUGUCUACUAAGAUUUUCUUUACUUGCUCAAAUUUUAAAACUGAUUUUAAAAAUACUUGUGGCAUUAUUGUGUUCACUAAGUUGAAUGAAGAUCUCGGGGAGAACCUACUCUAUUUUUACACUGUACUGACUUCUUAAACAGUUG